rnacentral:misc_RNA from 1 species
CCCAACUAUCCCUAUUAAUCAUUACAUCGAUCCUAGAAACCAACAAAAUAGAAUGCGAUGUCCUAUUUCAUUAUUCCAUGCUAAUGUAUUCAAGCGUUAGCCUGCUUUAAACACUCUAAUUUUUUCAAGGUAACAGUCCUAAUUCCCCAAAACAUCAAAUGAAUGACAUUAUGGUUCCUUAGAAGGUGAGAACCAAUAUGACCAGUACAUACCAACGGCAUGACCAAUCCAUUGAUUCCGAAGUUCAACUACGAGCUUUUUAACUGCAACAACUUUAAUAUACGCUAUUGGAGCUGGAAUUACCGCGGCUGCUGGCACCAGACUUGCCCUCCAA